rnacentral:rRNA from 1 species
UACGUAGGGUGCAAGCGUUGUCCGGAAUUAUUGGGCGUAAAGAGCUCGUAGGCGGUUCGUCGCGUCGGCUGUGAAAUCCCGGAGCUCAACUCCGGGUCUGCAGUCGAUACGGGCGGACUCGAGUUCGGCAGGGGAGACUGGAAUUCCUGGUGUAGCGGUGAAAUGCGCAGAUAUCAGGAGGAACGCCGGUGGCGAAGGCGGGUCUCUGGGCCGAUACUGACGCUGAGGAGCGAAAGCGUGGGGAGCGAACAGG